GGCUGGCUUAAAGCUCACACGUGGUGGUGGUGGUGGGGCUCAGGCGGCUUUUAGCAGAAAGAUUUAUCAUAACAGACACCCUUAGCAGACCAUGGAAACCCAUGCUCCUUCAUCCCCAGAACGAAAGCUUUUUGUUUAUGACAAUUGGGCUAGAAUAACUGAUCAUCGUACUAACUGAAUUGUUUUAAUGGUGGAGAGUCUUGAGAGUCUCCAUCUGGAGACAAAGAAAGGAUCUACAGUGAAGAGAGUGUCUCCUGGAAUAGAAAGCACACUUAUUCCUUCCCCAAGACAUACAUCUAGGUUGUUGCCAUUUACUGAAUGUUGUGAACAGAGGAACAAUAACACUGAAGAGCAAGUAUCUCUGAAUGCAAAUUCUAAGAUAGCAGUAACCUUGAUGCCUAAAAAUCGGACCCGUCUCAAUAAAUAUAUGUUGACUUAUAUGGGUGAUGCCAUGCUUCAAUCAAAAGCUUGGUCAGGAAUGAGAGACAAGCACAAGGUUAACUCAAGAACUAUCCUCUCAUGCUUUCUAGCAAAUUAAAAAACUCCUGGUGACCAUAAAAGUAUACUCAUGGAAGUUUGUGGGUAAGAUUCUUUUUCAGGAAACCUAUUUGAAAUAUGUAAGUUUAGAGACUGAGUCUGAGAACACCAAUUUGGAAGGAAGUGCUUUUUGAGUUGAAUACAGAUAGGGCUGAAGGGAGGGGUCUAAAGAGAAGGGAAUGAUUGACGAGUAGAAGGAGUGGGACAGAAAGCUAAAUGUGAGCUGGGAAAACUAUGAAGGCCAAUUCCCCAAAGCAACACACUGGAUGGUGUUGACCAAUCAGGCAAGAAACUUCAUUUUGAUCUUCAAAGCACUGUGGAGCCAAAGGAGAGCUUUCAAUAUGUAAAAUCAUUUGCAGCAGGGAUUGAAUUGUAGGCAAUAUUUGGAACUGAUUUUAAAAGCAAGGGAGGAAAGCACGAUUAUCAUCAUAGAAAAUAUGUUUUUAUAUCUGAGGACAACAUUAACCUGUAUUGCAAAGUUAGGUUAUUAUUUCAAUCCUACUUUAUCACUAGAAGUUGAAAAAAUUGCUUCUACAACAAACGUGAAAUGGCUGC